rnacentral:rRNA from 1 species
AGCAGCCGCGGUAAUUCCAGCUCCAAUAGCGUAUAUUAAAGUUGUUGCAGUUAAAAAGCUCGUAGUUGAAUUUCGGGAUCAAUAUUUCGGUCAUGCCGUUGGUAUGCACUGUUAUCAUUGAUUUCUCACCUUCUAAAGAACCGUAAUGCCAUUAAUUUGGUGUUACGGGGAAUUAGGACUGUUACCUUGAAAAAAUUAGAGUGUUUAAUGCAGGCUCACGCUUGAAUACAUUAGCAUGGAAUAAUGAAAUAGGACAUCCGAUUCUAUUUUGUUGGUUUCUAGGAUCGAUGUAAUGAUUAAUAGGGAUAGUUGGGGGCAUUAGUAUUCAAUUGUCAGAGGUGAAAUUCUUGGAUUUAUUGAAGACUAACUACUGCGAAAGCAUUUGCCAAGGAUGUUUUCAUUAAUCAAGAACGAAAGUUAGGGGAUCGAAGACGAUCAGAUACCGUCGUA